AUUUUUGCUGGUUUCUGCUGCCCCGCCCUGGGCCCGCCGAGGUCAGAGAUCAGGACUCUCCAGAGUGCAGGAUACACAGCAUUGCGAUGGAGACGCAGGAGGACCUGAGAGCACAGGGAGCAAAACUGGGUCGCCCCCCUUGGACUGUCCCCGCUCACUAUGCUGCCUCCCUGGAUUCCCCAAGACUCUCCCCUGAUCCAGCCUUCCCUACACAGACUUCCUUGACCCUCCUGAGUUCCUACGGUAUUCUGAAACAUACAGGAAGACCACAGGCUUCCCCUGCCUGAAGCCGGGUGUAGCAGUGGAUGUGCUUUGACCAGUGAAGUGGGAUUGAAAGUAACAAGAGCCAAUGUACAGCACACACGUGUUCUUUCUCAGCUAGACUGGCUGGGGAUGGCAUGCUGUGACCACAUUUCUACACCCUGAGGCAGCUCCCACCACUGAGCAACUCAUAG
rnacentral:lncRNA from 1 species